AGCCUUCUGUAUUCGUGUUGAGAUUUCGUCACACACUAGACCACAGGGGCUAAUGAGACUCCCAACAUAAGUGAAACC
rnacentral:pre_miRNA from 1 species